GCGUCAUCGCUAGCUCCGCCCCUUGGUGUGUGUGGGUUUCCGCAUGGAAAAGGUAUGGUUUGGUGGCAGUUUGUCUGGUGUUAAAUUUUAGUUAGUGUAUAUCAAUUAAUUGAAUUCACUCUUGUAGCUGGAAUAGCUUCUGGUUUGCGGUUUUGCAGUGGUGCGCAGGCUGUCAUUGAUCCCGGGUAAGCCCAGUUUGAUAAACGGUUUAUAUAAAACAAUUACAUCUGUUUAAAUCGCAUGUUUUUAUUUCAGCUGGGUUGAGUCCACUUUCCGUGUGAAUUGUCAAACAUUAUGCUGUGAGCAAUCAUACAACUUAGGUUAUUUUGACGAAGAUUUGGGCCCUGUAUGAGAAGGCUAGCUGUUAUGAUAUCCUGGUGGUGGUAUUUGGAGCACGAGGUGUGGACUGCCGUCUGAUCACUUACUCCACUGGUGUGUGUGUGUGUGUGUGUGUUUGUGUGCGCGUGUGGUUUAACAUUCACUUUACAGCUAGCCUAGUCUGCUUGUAUGUUUAGGUCCCUGUUUGACUUGUUGUGGUUCUAUUUUUGUUAUUUUGGUCGUAAAUGUUUGUUUUAUUUGGAUUUAAUAAACAACCAUGUUUUUA